rnacentral:tRNA from 1 species
AGGCGGGUAGCUCAGUGGCAGAGCGCUCUUGCAACACGAGAGAAGUCGAAGGUUCGAUUCCUAUCCCCGCCUACCA